GACGAACGCUGGCGGCGUGCUUAACACAUGCAAGUCGAACGGAAAGGCCCUGCUUUUGUGGGGUGCUCGAGUGGCGAACGGGUGAGUAACACGUGAGUAACCUGCCCUUGACUUUGGGAUAACUUCAGGAAACUGGGGCGAAUACCGGAUAGGAGCGCCUGCUGCAUGGUGGGGGUUGGAAAGUCUCGGCGGUUGGGGAUGGACUGGCGGCUUAUCAGCUUGUUGGUGGGGAAGUGGCUUACCAAGGCCUUGACGGGUAGCCGGCCUGGGAGGGUGACCGGCCACAUUGGGACUGAGAUACGGCCCAGACUCCUACGGGAGGCAGGAGUGGGGAAUAUUGCACAAUGGGCGGAAGGCUGAUGCAGCAACGCCGCGUGCGGGAUGACGGCCUUCGGGUUGUAAACCGCUUUCGCCUGUGACGAAGCGUGAGUGACGGUAAUGGGUAAAGAAGCACCGGCUAACUACGUG
rnacentral:rRNA from 1 species